CCUACGGGAGACAGCAGUGAGGAAUAUUGGUCAAUGGACGGAAGUCUGAACCAGCCAUGCCGCGUGCAGGAUGACGGCUCUAUGAGUUGUAAACUGCUUUUGUACGAGAAUAAUAGUUCUUACGUGUAGGGAUUUGAAUGUAUCGUACGAAUAAGGAUCGGCCAACUUCGUGCCAGCAGCCGCGGUAAUACGGAGGAGUCGAGCGUUAUCCGGAUUUAUUGGGUUUAAAGGGUGCGUAGGCUGUCGGAUAAGUUAGGGGUCAAAUGGGGGGGCUUAACCCCGGGCCUGCCUCUGAUACUGUUCGACUAGAGAGCGGGAGCGGCAGGCGGAAUGAGUAGUGUAGCGGUGAAAUGCUUAGAUAUUA
rnacentral:rRNA from 1 species